rnacentral:rRNA from 1 species
AACUGCGAACGGCUCAUUAAAUCAGUUAUCGUUUAUUUGAUGAUACUUUGCUACAUGGAUAACCGUGGUAAUUCUAGAGCUAAUACAUGCUAGAUGUCCCGACCUCUGGAAGGGAUGUAUUUAUUAGAUAAAAAACCAAUGCCCCUCCCGGGCUUCAUGGUGAUUCAUAAUAACUUAACGAAUCGAGUUCGGCCUUUUGCGCUUCGAUGGUUCAUUCAAAUUUCUGCCCUAUCAACUUUCGAUGGUAGGAUAGUGGCCUACCAUGGUUUCAACGGGUAACGGGGAAUUAGGGUUCGAUUCCGGAGAGGGAGCCUGAGAAACGGCUACCACAUCCAAGGAAGGCAGCAGGCGCGCAAAUUACCCAAAUCCCAAACCAAAGGGGAGGUAGUGACAAUAAAUACUGAUACAGGGCCUUUUUGGGUCUUGUAAUUGGAAUGAGUACAAUCUAAACCCUUUAACGAGGAACAAUUGGAGGGCAAGUCUGGUGCCAGCAGCCGCGGUAAUUCCAGCUCCAAUAGCGUAUAUUAAAGUUGUUGCAGUUAAAAAGCUCGUAGUUGAACCUUGGAUCUGGGUGACCGGUCUGCGUCACCGCAUGUUACUGGAACCCCGGAUCUUUCCUUCUGGAGAACCGCAUGCCCUUUACUGGGUGUGCUGGGAAACCAGGACUUUUACUUUGAAAAAAUUAGAGUGUUCAAAGCAAGGCCAUAAUCCAAACGCACAAAUACAUUAGCAUGGAAUAAUAGAAUAGGACGUGCGGUCCUAUUUUGUUGGUUUCCAGGACCGCCGUAAUGAUUAAUAGGGAUAGUCGGGGGCAUCCGUAUUCGAUUGUCAGAGGUGAAAUUCUUGGAUUUUUCGAAGACGAACUACUGCGAAAGCAUUUGCCAAGGAUGUUUUCAUUAAUCAGGAACGAAAGUUGAGGGAUCGAAGACGAUCAGAUACCGUCGUAGUCUCAACCAUAAACUAUGCCGACUAGGGAUCGGGCGAUGUUUAAUUUUGACUCGCUCGGCACCUUACGAGAAAUCAAAGUCUUUGGGU